UUCAAACUUUGUAAAUAUAUAUAUAUAUAUACUUAAUAAUAGGUGUCCCACUGUUUAACACAAACCUUCAAAACAAGAAAAAUGUAUCAAGUUUGAAAAACAUGAAAUUUUUUUAUUUAAUCACAAUAUAAUCUUAAUAGAAUGUGUGCAUUGUGUAGAAAAGAGUUCAAACUUUAUGGUAAUACCAAAAAGUCUUCAAAAAUAUAUAAAAUUGACAUAUUAAUAUGUCUUUGAAAAAAAAGUGUCCCACUGUUUGUCACUCUCCCCUAUAGGUGAUUAAAUUUAAAAUUGCAUUUUUGCGGACUACAAAUGUUGACUUGGCAAUGUUGGAAUUGGUGGUUGAAUAAUUUUUUUUUGGUUAGCUAGCAUGUCCAGCUCAAAAUUCCUGUACAGGAUCCUUAAAGGAUCCCUACAGUUUCCUACAUAGGAUCCUUAAAGGUUCCCUGAGGGAUCGUGUUAAGAAUCCUACGCAGGAUCCCACGGGUCGGUAUCAUAUUGACACAAAUUUUUUUUGAGAAAAUUGUUAUUUUGUACAACUGGAAAUAUUGUUAUUUUGUACAACUUGACGAAUAAAAAUUGUUAUUUUGAACAAAUUUGAAUAACGAUAUUGUUAUAUUGUACAAAUUAAAAAAAUUUUAAUUUAUUUGUUAGGGUACGGUCCUUCUAUCUCAUGCAUACACUGUGCAUGUAUGCAGAAACAUUUGGCCGGUCACACUUCAACAAAAUCUAGUGAAUGUUUAGUAACUUUCUAGUUACAAUCGAAAUUUUUGGAAAAUUACUAGAAAGUUACUAAAAAUUCACUAGAUUUCGUUGAAGUGUGACCGGCCAAAUGUUUCUGCAUGCAGUCAUAUGUAUUUUUUAGUCCUCUUUCAGAACCUACCGCUGAUUGCGAAUUUGAAGUCAGAUUUUCAAAAUUCAAAAUGGCAGACAUUUUGAAAAUCAAACGCAAUCGGCUUGACACUUGUUACUCGGGGGUUUUUGGGGUCGCUGAUUCUGAAUUUGAAGUCAGAUUUUCAAAAUUCAAAAUGGAGAAAAAAAAUAUAUUACGACCGCCAAAAGGACUGAAAUUUAAAAAAGACUUCAAAAGAAAGUGGACACGAUUACCCGGACUAAUGGAUGCCGGCAUGUAUCCGGAUAAUUGAAAAGAAUAGGAAAUAAACAAAUUUUCAAUGCUA